GAAACUUAAAGCAUCGUUCUUAAUUAUUAUUCCUUAUUUUUCGCGCAAUUUUCUAAGAAAAAAAUUGUUAUUUUAUAAAAUCGGUCACGAUUACAAAUUCGGUAAAGAAAGUUAGAAUAAUUUAGAAUGAAAAUUUAUGUAUUAGAUUCUAGUAUUUAUUUAUAUCAAAAAAGUGAUACAUAAAAAAGUGAUACGUUCUAAAAAUCAUAUAAAUUUUAUUACGACAAAUUUUUGAUGAAAAAAUUUUAUUCACAUUUUUAUUCCUAUAUAUCUUGCUAACUCAUGAGAUAAUGCGAUUGGAGAAAUAAGCAGACACGUUACAAUAUGUGUGAAAGCUUCAUCAGCCGAUGGAGAAAAUCUGAUUAAUGGAUUUCGUAUUCUCACGCCAUUAGCAACAUUCGGACAGGACAGAUUCCACUAAUGAUCGAACAUCAUCGCUCAAAAUGAGUCAGAAUACGAUAGAUUUUAACGAAAAGUGAAUUCUUCAUAAAUUGAUUUGAUUGAGUUGCAUUUUUAACUCGAUCGAAAGCAAUAAGAUCGUGAAAUAAGCGACAGAGGAUAUUCACGAAUGCACAGUUAAUUGUUUAGAAUUGUAUACAGACGUGUGUCGUUUAGUUUAUAUUAUUUUGGAUUUCGAUACGAUGACGCAAGUGAUAUUGCAUUAUCAUUUCUCAGCCCAUAAUGUGAUAGAUCGCUAAUCCAGUUGAAUAAAAUUUGAAAUAAGCAAUUAAAUUAUAUUUAUAUUAUCAUUUAAUUUAUUUA